GCCUAAUACACUUCUAUUCCGUGAUUCAUUUAACACGUAUGUCCCUUCUGUGGGUCAGGCCAAGUGAUAUUGUGAAAAGAACACUGGACAGCAAGACAGGAGACCUUGGAUCUGCCACUCACUGACUGUGAGGAGGGUCACGCAGCACAAUGCCAGCUCUGCCCCUGGACCAACUCCAGAUCACCCACAAGGACCCGAAGACAGGAAAGCUGAGGACUUCACCAGCGCUGUGGAGGAGUACCUGGAACGCGCCACCUUCGUAGCCAAUGACCUCGACUGGCUCCUGGCCUUGCCUCACGAUAAAUUCUGGUGCCAGGUGAUCUUUGACGAGACUCUACAGAAGUGCCUGGACUCCUACCUGCGCUAUGUCCCCCGCAAAUUCGACGAGGGGGUGGCCUCAGCCCCUGAGGUUGUUGACAUGCAGAAGCGCCUCCAUCGAAGUGUUUUUCUCACCUUCCUCCGCAUGUCCACUCACAAGGAAUCCAAAGAUCACUUCAUUUCCCCUUCUGCGUUUGGAGAAAUCCUCUACAAUAACUUCCUCUUUGACAUUCCAAAGAUCCUGGACCUCUGCGUGCUCUUUGGAAAAGGCAACUCACCACU
rnacentral:lncRNA from 10 species